rnacentral:lncRNA from 1 species
CCAGUCCAAUUAUACAGUACAAAAAAAUAAAUAAUGCGGAAAUAUAAAUCUAUUCUAUCCUAGAAUAAUCCUAUGCUACGCUCUAACGCUUCACCCGACGCCUCGGGCCUUCACCACGAACAUCUUCCAAGUACAAGGUACUUCGGGGCAUUCCCCGGGUAAAUCAAUACAAAUCCUUCGGGGCAUUCCUCGGCCAAAUGAGUACAAUUUAAACUUUUCGUGCAAUAAAGUAGAAAGUACCAUUCAUGCAUAUAUUCAAACACUCCAACAAAUCAUUAUUUCUAAAUUUGACUACCCGACCUACAUUUGCCGAUCCAAG